rnacentral:rRNA from 1 species
GAUGAACGCUGGCGGCGUGCCUAAUACAUGCAAGUCGAGCGAAGCGGGGACGGGUGAGUAACACGUGGGUAACCUCCUAUAAGACUGGGUUAACUUCGGGAAACCGGAACUAAACCCGCUACUUCUAGAUGGUUCCGCGGUGCAUUAGCUAGUUGGUAAGGUAACGGCUUACCAAGUCAACGAUGCAUAGCCGACCUGAGAGGGUGAUCAGCCAAACUGGAACUGAGACACGGUCCAGACUCCUACGGGAGGCAGCAGUAGGGAAUCUUCCGCAAUGGGCGAAAGCCUGACGGAGCAAUGCCGCGUGAGUGAUGAAGGUCUUCGGGUCGGAAAACUCUGUUAUUAGGGAAGCGGUACCUGAACAGAAAGCCACGGCUAACUACGUGCCAGCAGCCGCGGUAAUUC